GCUGGCCUCCGCGCCCUCUUCCGGAGUUGCCCUUUCCGUCUCCUGCUCUCCCGAGACCUGUAUCUGUGCCUCCGAUCCCCCCCUGAGUUCGGGCCCGCGCUUCUUCGGGCUUCCGCCUCCGAACGGCCGCUCACGCUACGAAGCUCACCUCUGGUCACAGCACCUGCCAAUCAACCUGUGGCCGGACCAGGGCUGCCAUCUUCCCGGCAGACCGUUUCUGCUCUUCCGCCGUACGACCUCUGUCAUUGGCCAGGGCGGCCUCGUUUCAGCUCUAAGUAUACACCGAUUGGUGCACCUAAAGAGUUCCAGGUUCUCCUAGACGCUUCCAAAGCAACGAAAGCCGUUUUCUGUAGUACGAGUUGGCGGUUGCUCCCAGUUGGACUCGGUUCGUAGCCCAGGGCACUUCUCUUGAUUCCUUCCUGCACGGAACUCAUAUUUUAAAUCACUCAUAUUUGCAGAGGGAAUUAGUAUUCAGAAUCUUCAGCUCCCCUUACAGACGAGGAAACAGCCUCGACAAGCACCGAAAACAGUGCCUGCCAUUUGGAAUGCACAAAUGAAUGGGUGACUAGGAUGAACUUCUGAGCUGAGAUCUCAUUGAAGUUAGGAAGUGAGCCAGGAGAUGUCUGUGGAAGAGAAUUCCGGAUAGAGGGAACAGCAAAGGCAAAGCCCGGAAGCAGGCAGCUUGCAGGAUCUUAGUUCCCCAACCAGGGAUUGAACCCCAGC